ACGGAAGGCAGCAGUGGGGAAUAUUGCACAAUGGGGGAAACCCUGAUGCAGCGACGCCGCGUGAGUGAAGAAGUUAUUCGUAAUGUAAAGCUCUAUCAGCAGGGAAGAAAAUGACGGUACCUGACUAAGAAGCCCCGGCUAACUACGUGCCAGCAGCCGCGGUAAUACGUAGGGGGCAAGCGUUAUCCGGAUUUACUGGGUGUAAAGGGAGCGUAGACGGUCUGGCAAGUCUGAUGUGAAAGGCAGGGGCUCAACUCCUGGACUGCAUUGGAAACUGUCAGUCUUGAGUGCCGGAGAGGUAAGCGGAAUUCCUAGUGUAGCGGUGAAAUGCGUAGAUAUUAGGAGGAACACCAGUGGCGAAGGCGGCUUACUGGACGGUAACUGACGUUGAGGCUCGAAAGCGUGGGGAGCAGACAGGAUUAGAUACCCUGGUA
rnacentral:rRNA from 1 species